UGCCGAAUGGGGUAACGGUAGCCCGCCUGUCUCUGAAACAGGUAGUCAUGGUUCAAAUCCAUGUUCGGCAG
rnacentral:tRNA from 1 species